UAGCCGUAAACGAUACUCGCUAGGUGUCGGCCACGGUGCGACCGUUGUCGGUGCCGUAGGGAAGCCGUGAAGCGAGCCACCUGGGAAGUACGGCCGCAAGGCUGAAACUUAAAGGAAUUGGCGGGGGGAGCACCACAACGGGUGGAGCUUGCGGUUUAAUUGGAUUCAACGCCGGAAAUCUUACCGGGACCGACAGCAACAUGAAGGCCAAGCUGAAGACUUUGCCGGAUUAGCUGAGAGGAGGUGCAUGGCGUAGUCG
rnacentral:rRNA from 1 species